GUGCUCACUUCGGCAGCACAUAUACUAAAACUGGAACAAUACUGAGCAUGGCCCCUGCACAAGGAUGACACACAAAUUCAUGAAGUGUUGCAUGUUUCU
rnacentral:snRNA from 1 species